rnacentral:rRNA from 1 species
UACGUAGGCAGCAAGCGUUGUUCGGAGUUACUGGGCGUAAAGGGUGUGUAGGCGGCUUCGUAAGUUCGGUGUGAAAUCUCCGCUUAACUGGGAGGGUGCGCCGAAAACUGCGAAGCUGGAGCGCAGGAGAGGAAAGCAGAAUUCCUGGUGUAGCGGUGAAAUGCGUAGAUAUCAGGAGGAAUACCGGUGGUGAAGGCGGCUUUCUGGACUGCUGCUGACGCUGAUACACGAAAGCGUGGGGAUCAAACAGG